UACGUAGGUGGCAAGCGUUGUCCGGAUUUAUUGGGUUUAAAGGGUGCGUAGGCGACUGUUUAAGUCAGUGGUGAAAGCCGAUCGCUUAACGAUCGAACUGCCAUUGAUACUGAAUAGCUUGAGUACAGAUGAGGUAGGCGGAAUUGACAGUGUAGCGGUGAAAUGCAUAGAUAUUGUCAAGAACACCAGUGGCGAAGGCGGCUCACUGGCCCGAUACUGACGCUGAGGCACGAAAGCGUGGGGAGCAAACAGG
rnacentral:rRNA from 1 species